rnacentral:snRNA from 1 species
GGCAGAUUACUGAUCCCAAACAAGAUCGGAAAGAUGCAGAGAAGAGUCGCAUGGCCCCUGCGCAAGGAUGACACUCACAAAUCAAGAAGUUUACCAAGUCGAA